rnacentral:rRNA from 1 species
GACGAACGCUGGCGGCGUGCUUCAUACAUGCAAGUCGAACGAGAAGCUGACUUCGGUCAGUGGACAGUGGCGGACGGGGGAGUAAUAUGUAGGAAAUCUGCCUUUAGGAGGGGGACAACAGAGGGAAACUUCUGCUAAUACCCCAUAUGAGCGUAGCUGAAAUGCUAUUCUUGAAAACUCCGGUUCCUAAAGAUGAGCCUGCAUCUGAUUAGCUAGUUGGUAGUGUAAUGGACUACCAAGGCGACGAUCAGUAGCUGGGUUGAGAGGAUGAUCAGCCACAACGGGACUGAGACCCGGCCCAUCACCCUACGGGAGACAGCUGUAGGGAAUUUUGCGCAAUGGGCGAAAGCCUGACGCAGCUACGCCGCGUGAACGAUUAAGCCCUUCGGGGUGUAAAGUUCUGUCAGUGGGGACGAAACUUGACGGUACCCACAGAGGAAGCACCGGCUAACUCCGUG